CUUACCAGGUCCGGACACAGUUAGGAUUGACAGAUUGAAAGCUCCUCCUUGAUUCUGUGGGUGGUGGUGCAUGGCCGUUCUUAGUUGGUGGAGUGAUUUGUCUGGUUAAUUCCGAUAACGAACGAGACCUCAGCCUAUUAAUUAAAUAAAAAAAUAUAAGCAAUUAUAAGGGUUAAAUAAAAUUUAAUUUAAUAUUAUUUUUUAGUAUUAAAUUAUUUUAUUUAAAACUUGUUUAUAUUUAUUUUUAUUUUCUUAAAGGGACACUUGGUGUUUAACCAAGGGAAGUUUGAGGCAAUAACAGGUCUGUGAUGCCCUUUAGAUGUUCUGGGCCGCACGCGCGCUACACUGAUAAAAUCAAUAAGUUUUUUAAUUUAAUUCCUUGACUGAAAAGUUUGGGUAAACUUUGAAAAUUUUAUCGUGCUGGGGAUUGACAAUUGUAAUUAUUUGUCAUGAACGAGGAAUUCCUAGUAAACGUAAGUCAUCAGCUUACGUUGAUUACGUCCCUGCCCUUUGUACACACCGCCCGUC
rnacentral:rRNA from 1 species